UCUUCCGGGGAGACGCGGACCCCAGCUCCGAGGCUGCAGAGGCCCCGGGUGCGCCUCCUGCGCCCCCAUCACUUCCUCCCCGGGGUCCCAGGUCCCUAAUCCCAGGGUACAGAGGGUGGCCGGCGGAGGCCUGACCCGGAGCGGGGCAGGUAAGCAGGUCAGGGCCACAGAGAACCAGGCCCCUGGUCUGAAGAAAGUCCUGCCUGGUCGGGGAGAGCAACACCCCCCAGAGGCCGUGGUCCCACGCUGGGGAGCUUGAGGGGCCCCUGACGACCUCCAGCCCCCUGCCCCGGGUGAAAGGCCGCGUCCACAGGGCCUGCAGCCAGGGCACGGGCCGGGCCUGGGCCUCCCAGACUGGGAGCAAGGUGAGAAGGGGGUGUGGCCCCUCAGAAGCCCGCGGAGGGCACCUCGAUGAUGUUCGUGGGUCCCUCCCCCACCACACUCACAUGGCAAGGUGGCUCCCACUCCUGCAUUCUCCACGGCUUCAGACUCAGUCUGAGGACGCUCAGUGUGGGCGCCUCAGGCCUGGCCUGCCCUUGGGGACAGCCCAGGCUGGUAGGGAGGCAGACAGGAACACAGAAAAAUUCCCCGCACAAGUGCCGGAGCAGAAGCGGGGCCGGCUACCUGGUGUGGCUUCUUGGAGGUGGACACACCCCAGCUGAGAAAGUGUAUGCCCAGGAGAGAAGGUUUAUCUUUUCAGAGAUCGCUCCGGCAACCCGGACAGAGGAGUGAGAGGGGCUGCUCAGGGAGACGAUGGAGGCCUGGCUGGGGCCCUGAGGCCAACGAGGGGCGCAGAGACUGGCCGAGGCGGCCACAGCCUGGCUGGGACCUCAGCUAGGGGCAACCUGCCCUGUGAAGGAAGACUACAAGGCCCAUUUUACAGAUGAAGAAACUGAGGCCCAAGAGGUUUCAAGACCUGUCCAGCAAGUAUCUAUUACACUUGGGACUGCAAGGCCAAUCUUCAGACUUCAGGACACCUGCUCUCCCCUCCGACCAUUCUGUCCCCCCUCAGGUGUCAGGCAGGCCCCUUCCAACCUCUGUAAAGGCCCCCACAUAUCUCAGUUACCAUCCCAGCACGCCAGGGCCUCCUGGGCUCUGCUGAGCUGUCCAGGGUCCUGGCCGGGCCCAGCCUCGCCCCAAAGUCUACUCUGAUCCCUCCCAGGCUAUCACUUCUUCCCGCCUCUUGGAUAUCAAAGAAGCAAAAACAGGGGAAGUUGCACCUGCCCCCCAGCUCCGCCCCUGUACUGCCUGCACUCCCUGUGAGCCCCGGGAUACCACACGCAACUCGCAGCUGUUCUCCUCUUCCAGAGAAUGGGUACAACGUGGGGCAGACCAGGAGGGGGUCCAUAUUCAAUACAUUUCCACGGAUAUAACAGCCGCCUCCUCGGGGCCAGGCAAAGCCAGAGCUGCGGAGAGACUGGACCCGGCCCUGCCCUUGAGCAAAUGUGGGGGCUGGAAACCAACAAGGGCCACACACUGAUGAGCAGAGGGGAACACAGGCUGAGGGAGCACAAGGGACUUCCCACCCCUCCCAGGGGCAGAAAGGGGAGGUGCUUGGGGAGUGCCGCAUGACAAGGGCAAAUACAAGAGGACAUUCUGGGGUAGGGAUGGAAUAA